AGUGAACGCUGGCGGUAGGCCUAACACAUGCAAGUCGAACGGCAGCACAGUAAGAGCUUGCUCUUACGGGUGGCGAGUGGCGGACGGGUGAGGAAUACAUCGGAAUCUACUUUUUCGUGGGGGAUAACGUAGGGAAACUUACGCUAAUACCGCAUACGACCUACGGUUGAAAGCAGGGGAUCUUCGGACCUUGCGCGAUUGAAUGAGCCGAUGUCGGAUUAGCUAGUUGGCGGGGUAAAGGCCCACCCAGGCGACGAUCCGUAGCUGGACUGAGAGGAUGAUCAGCCACACUGGAACUGAGACACGGUCAAGACGACUAAGGGAGGCAGCAGAGGGGAAUAUUGGACAAUGGGCGCAAGCAUGAUCCAGCCAGAGCGCGUGGGUGAAGAAGGCCUUCGGGUUGUAAAGCCCGUUUGUUGGGAAAGAAAAGCAGCAGGUUAAGACCCAGCUGUUCUGACGGUACCCAAAGAAUAAGCACCGGCUAACUUCGUG
rnacentral:rRNA from 1 species